GAUGAAGAACGUAGCGAAAUGCGAUAAGUAAUGCGAAUUGCAGAAUUCCGUGAGUCAUCGAAUCUUUGAACGCACAUUGCGCCCUCUGGUAUUCCGGAGGGCAUGCCUGUCUGAGCGUCAUUGUCAUCCCUCAAGCUCAGCUUGCUGUUGGGUCCCCGUCGUUGCUUUAACGGCGGACCCGAAAGGUAAUGGCAGAGUCCGUGAGACCCUAGACGCAGCGAGCUUCUAGCACGCGUCUGGACGUUUUUCGGGCUCGGUCUUAACUAGAUGAUAACUUCCGAUUGACCUCAGAUCAGGUAGGGAUACCCGCUGAACUUAAGCAUAUCAAUAAGCGGAGGA
rnacentral:misc_RNA from 1 species